UCAGCUUGGGCGUGGGUGGAGGUCGAAUGAGGCAAUCAUUUGUGUUCCUUGUGGACUGAUAAUUUGCAACUGUCUUCAGCUUUGCCAUUCAGAUGCAAUAAAAUACUUACCUUAUGAAAGAGCCAGAAGAGUCAGAUGCACCCAAAAGUACUGCCUCAGAAAGAAUUUCAGUGCACAAGAUCUAAAGUGAUAAUCAACUUAAAGACAAUCUACGCCACAUAAGAUGGUGCAGAGACACUGGGAAUACCAAUGGGACACUGUAGCCUCAUCGCUGUGACACUUGAAAAAAGAGUUCUUCUGACCCUGGAGAAAAUUCUACAGACUGAAAAUGUAGACUUUGUAAAGUCCAUCUUCUGCCAUGACUAGUUGAAGACAGUUUGUACAGUACAGACAAAAGAUCCCAGAUAAGAAGAAGAUGAUGACCAUGUGAGGAAGAGGAGAUUAAAAUCAAUAUUGAGGGGUGAAUGUGCAUGUUGUAUGUAGAGAAGCUGUCUCUAAGAUAUUAGACCCAUAAUAACAGGCCUGUAGGGGCCAGGCACACCCACCCAGAGCAGUUUGCACUCCCACAAGAAUUCUAAAAAAACAUUUUAUAUAUGUAUUGUGGCAGUAGGGGGCGCUAGUGCUCCCUUGAACCCUCAGGGAUGACU